AUGGUAGCAUCUGCCCUGGCGGCGUUGGCCAACGAGAAACCGCGAGAUCCUCGCCGCUGUGGGCACCACCGCAGCGGCGCUAAGCACCACCAAUGCCGAUGGGGUCGUUCGAGCAGCUGGCGGCCGUCGCCAAGCAGCAGCAGCCCGCGAUGGCAGCGGGGGACUUCUCACGCGCCUGCUCCAACGUCUCCGUCCUCUUCUGCUGCCUCGGCAUCGCCUUCAAGUUUGCAGAGAUGGACUACGUAUCCAAGGCAAGCGGCCUCUCCUCCGCCCCCCUCUCCUCCCCCGCUACCUGCUCUGCUGUUCGGUAUGCUACUUCGUUGUGCUUGUACUGUAUGUGGUAAAAUUUCUGGUGAUUCCUUCCUGGGACAUUGGUUUAGUUGUGUGAAGCUGAGAGGUUUGGGAUGA
rnacentral:rRNA from 1 species